AGCUCUCUGCUCCCUUCCCCAUCGGAUCUAGACACUGGUCUGAGUGGUUACAAAGCAAAGACAAGUACAGAUGAGACGGACUUCAGUGCUUUUGUGGCACAUGGACCAGUUACAAACAAAC
rnacentral:snoRNA from 1 species